ensembl:ncRNA C09B9.84 ncRNA
AAAAAUAUGGAAACAAUAGGUGUGAGUGACAUGGUGAAUAAUUGAAGAAGUACUCCUUUGGAGAAGGACUCCUUUGGCACCUUCUCUUUUCUCAAGAAUUUUCACGCACAAAAAGAUGGUGGGUGCAAGGUUAGA